rnacentral:rRNA from 1 species
GAUGAACGCUGGCGGCGUGCCUAAUACAUGCAAGUCGAGCGAACAGACGAGGAGCUUGCUCCUUCGACGUUAGCGGCGGACGGGUGAGUAACACGUAGGUAACCUACCUAUAAGACUGGGAUAACUUCGGGAAACCGGAGCUAAUACCGGAUAAUAUUUCGAACCGCAUGGUUCGAUAGUGAAAGAUGGCUUUGCUAUCACUUAUAGAUGGACCUGCGCUGUAUUAGCUAGUUGGUAAGGUAACGGCUUACCAAGGCAACGAUACGUAGCCGACCUGAGAGGGUGAUCGGCCACACUGGAACUGAGACACGGUCCGGACUCCUACGGGAGGCAGCAGUAGGGAAUCUUCCGCAAUGGGCGAAAGCCUGACGGAGCAACGCCGCGUGAGUGAUGAAGGUCUUCGGAUCGUAAAACUCUGUUAUUAGGGAAGAACAAACGUGUAAGUAACUGUGCACGUCUUGACGGUACCUAAUCAGAAAGCCACGGCUAACUACGUG